GUGUAAGCGAAGCUAUUGUGGAGCGGUGAAAGGCUCAGUAACGGGCGAUUUAUUUAGUCUUCUGGGACGGACAACACCGGGAAACUGGUGGGAAAACGUCUAAGCUGCGAAUCACGCKAUGUGGUUGUGGCAGAAACUGUUAGUGCARAARAGUARGAUGCCAUCCUAUCAGUUAGUAAGUAGGGUAAGGGCCUACUUAGACGAAGACGGGUACGGGGAAUGAGGGUUUGAUUCCGGAGAGGGAGCCUGAGAGACGGCUACCAGGACCAAGGUCAGCAGCAGGCGCGAAAAUUAUCGAAGCCCGCCUAGGGGCGAUAGUGAGGAGACGUGAAUUUUAKGUGCGUGUAAAGAACGCACUAGCAACUGGAGGUCAAGUCUGGUGCCAGCAUCCGCGGUAAUUCCAGCUCCAGGGGUGUCUAUGAUGAUUGCUGCGAUUAAAAAGUCCGUAGUCAAGCCGCCAGACCAGUCUGGAAUGUUUCUUGAUCAAGAGACGAGCAGGGCUGGGAAAGCGGAGAAUUAGGAGCGACCGAGGGCUAGAGUAUUGGGUGGCGAGAGGUGAAAUUUGAUGACCCAUCCAGGAGUGACAAAGGCGAAGGCACUAGUCAAGGGCGAAUCCGAUGAUCAAGGACGUAGGCUAGAGUUUCGAAAACGAUUAGAGACCGGAGUAGUUCUAGCAGUAAACUAUGCCGACGCCGUGAUAUGAUUUUGUUGUAUUGCGGAAGAGAAAUCAAGUAAGGCUUUGGGGAGAGUACGCGCGCAAGCGAUAAAUUUAAAGGAAAUUGACGGAGGAACACCACAAGGAGUGGAGUGUGCGGCUUAAUUUGACUU
rnacentral:rRNA from 1 species